GUGGGGAAUAUUGGACAAUGGGCGAAAGCCUGAUCCAGCCAUGCCGCGUGAGUGAUGAAGGCCUUAGGGUUGUAAAGCUCUUUCAGUAGGGAAGAUAAUGACGGUACCUACAGAAGAAGCCCCGGCUAACUUCGUGCCAGCAGCCGCGGUAAUACGAAGGGGGCUAGCGUUGUUCGGAUUUACUGGGCGUAAAGCGCACGUAGGCGGAUUGGUCAGUUAGAGGUGAAAUCCUGGAGCUCAACUCCAGAACUGCCUUUAAUACUGCCAGUCUAGAGUCCAGAAGAGGUGAGUGGAACUCCUAGUGUAGAGGUGGAAUUCGUAGAUAUUAGGAAGAACACCAGUGGCGAAGGCGGCUCACUGGUCUGGUACUGACGCUGAGAUGCGAAAGCGUGGGGAGCAAACAGGAUUAGAUACCCUUGUAGUCC
rnacentral:rRNA from 1 species